rnacentral:rRNA from 1 species
AGCAUGUGGUUUAAUUUGAAAGCAACGCGAAGAACCUUACCAGGUCUUGACAUCUAGUGCCAUCCUAAGAGAUUAGGAGUUCCCUUCGGGGACGCUAAGACAGGUGGUGCAUGGCUGUCGUCAGCUCGUGUCGUGAGAUGUUGGGUUAAGUCCCGCAACGAGCGCAACCCUUGUUAUUAGUUGCCAGCAUUAAGUUGGGCACUCUAAUGAGACUGCCGGUGAUAAACCGGAGGAAGGUGGGGAUGACGUCAAGUCAUCAUGCCCCUUAUGACCUGGGCUACACACGUGCUACAAUGGACAGUACAACGAGAAGCGAGCCUGCGAAGGCAAGCGAAUCUCUGAAAGCUGUUCUCAGUUCGGACUGCAGUCUGCAACUCGACUGCACGAAGCUGGAAUCGCUAGUAAUCGCGGAUCAGAACGCCGCGGUGAAUACGUUCCCGGGCCUUGUACACACCGCCCGUCACACCAUGGAAGUCUGCAAUGCCCAAAGCCGGUUGCCUAACCUUCGGGAAGGAGCCCGUUUAAGGGC